rnacentral:rRNA from 1 species
UACGUAGGGGGCAAGCGUUGUCCGGAAUCAUUGGGCGUAAAGCGCGCGUAGGUGGCCCCAUAAGUCCGCUGUGAAAGUCAAAGGCUCAACCUUUGAAAGCCGGUGGAUACUGUGGGACUAGAGUACGGAAGAGGCGAGUGGAAUUCCUGGUGUAGCGGUGGAAUGCGCAGAUAUCAGGAGGAACACCGGUGGCGAAGGCGGGUCUCUGGGCAGUAACUGACGCUGAGGAGCGAAAGCGUGGGGAGCGAACAGG